rnacentral:rRNA from 1 species
UACGGAGGGGACUAGCGUUGUUCGGAAUUACUGGGCGUAAAGCGCACGUAGGCGGAUUUGUAAGUCAGGGGUGAAAUCCCGGGGCUCAACCUCGGAACUGCCUUCGAUACUGCAAAUCUCGAGUCCGGAAGAGGUGAGUGGAAUUCCUAGUGUAGAGGUGAAAUUCGUAGAUAUUAGGAAGAACACCAGUGGCGAAGGCGGCUCACUGGUCCGGUACUGACGCUGAGGUGCGAAAGCGUGGGGAGCAAACAGG